rnacentral:lncRNA from 1 species
CUAAGUCCUAACAACUACGCAUUAGAUAAAUUUAGCAGCUUUUGCAGUAUACUAAGUUCAGACAACAAAAACAAUUAGCAGCUAACAACAAUGUCUAAUAUAUAGCUUGAGCUGUUUACAUUUUUUCUUACCAGAAGGCACGAACUGGUAAAUGAGCAAAAAUGAGAAAAACUUUACUUACCUCACCAACAACAACCUACGGCGGACACGUUACCGGAAGCCACGACCCAGGAAAUGUGGAAUCCCACGACAGAGGGCACGACGGCAGAGGCUAGGUAAAAGAAAGGCAACAAGAAGGUAAUGGCAGAGGCUAGGUUAUGGAAAAAGAAAGGCAACAACAAAGGGCAACAAGAAGGUAAUGGCAGAGGCUACUAACGUUUUGCUGAGGCUACUAACAGCAAGGUAAUUUUCGUAAAUGAAAAAUUAAUUUAAAAAUUCAACAACGACGGUGAUGUGUUAGGCACCGAUGUUGUAUUGAAUGAGUUUGUACUGAAACACGGUCGUUUAAUGAACUGCGUCAUCAACCAUUUCGGUUUUAGUUAAAAAUGUUGUCGUUCAUCUUGUGAUAUUUACAAAAAUGCCACCGUG